ACUAGUGAUUGGGAUCGCCCUUACUCCUACGGGAGGCAGCAGUGGGGAAUAUUGCACAAUGGGCGCAAGCCUGAUGCAGCCAUGCCGCGUGUAUGAAGAAGGCCUUCGGGUUGUAAAGUACUUUCAGCGGGGAGGAAGGUGUUGUGGUUAAUAACCGCAGCAAUUGACGUUACCCGCAGAAGAAGCACCGGCUAACUCCGUGCCAGCAGCCGCGGUAAUAA
rnacentral:rRNA from 1 species